rnacentral:tRNA from 7 species
GGCCCCUUGGUCAAGCGGUUAAGACACCGCCCUUUCACGGCGGUAACAGGGGUUCAAGUCCCCUAGGGGUCACCA